CCGGUUUCGUUGCUCGGUGAAGUCGCGCAGGUAAAGUCGCAGGUCUUUACACUCGUAGGUCUUUACACUCAUUGGUCUUCACACGAG